rnacentral:rRNA from 1 species
GAUGAACGCUGGCGGCGUGCUUAACACAUGCAAGUCGAACGGAAAGGCCCAAGCUUGCUUGGGUACUCGAGUGGCGAACGGGUGAGUAACACGUGGGUGAUCUGCCCUGCACUUCGGGAUAAGCCUGGGAAACUGGGUCUAAUACCGGAUAGGACGAUGGUUUGGAUGCCAUUGUGGAAAGUUUUUUCGGUGUGGGAUGAGCUCGCGGCCUAUCAGCUUGUUGGUGGGGUAAUGGUCUACCAAGGCGUCGACGGGUAGCCGGCCUGAGAGGGUGUACGGCCACAUUGGAACUGAGAUACGGCCCAGACUCCUACGGGAGGCAGCAGUGGGGAAUAUUGCACAAUGGGAGCAAGCCUGAUGCAGCGACGCCGCGUGGGGGAUGACGGCCUUCGGGUUGUAAACUCCUUUCGCUAGGGACGAAGCGUUUUUGUGACGGUACCUGGAGAAGAAGCACCGGCUAACUACGUG